UCCACCCACAGCAGUAUUGCAUCCAAGAUUCUGUUUGUAAUUAGUAAAUAAGAAGGAACAAAUAGGAGCAUUGCUGUGGGAUUCCUGAAAUGCCACAGAUCCAACUGCAGAUUGAUGUGACCAUCCACUGGAAAAAAUUGAAAGCUAAGUAGAGCCUUUGACUCAGCCAAAAGGACUCAACUUUCCAUGAGGGAUGGAGGAAGAGGAAAUACCUUGUUUUAGGACACAGGUGCACUUUGGAUUCCAUACUGCACACGAUAACUUUCCACAGGCAACAUGUGUAUUCCUCACACACAGUAUGGGUAGGCACCUGAUCGUUAUAAUGUCUGAAUCUUUUCUUGAUCAAGAUCCAAAUACCUCACAUGACUGUGUUGAUUUUUUCUCAACACUGAGACUUACUGGUUUCCCAGGAAGUCCAAAAAUAUAUUAACUUACCUGAAACUGAAGAUUUCAUUAUAGUGUUGGAUAAAUGCAUUGAGCAUGG